rnacentral:tRNA from 1 species
GCCCGGGUGGCUCAGUCGGUUGGGCAUCUGACUCUUGAUUUCGGCUCAGGUCACGAUCUCCCGGUUCGUGGGUUCGAGCCCCAUGUUGGGCU